GGAUAGAAUGCACUCUUACUUUUCAAAGUAGUCUUAUUCAAUAAUGCGAAGUAUUUGAUACGUUCGUUAAUUAUCUUGGGCUCGUGUGGACUUAAUUUCAAGAAUAUAUAGUUCCCUUGGAAUGCAUGCUGCUAAAAAUCAUGGUGGCUAUAAAUAGCUAGGAGCGGUGGAAUGGAGGAGAGCAUAACCAUUUUAGUUAGUCACAUAUAUUUCCAAGAUGAACUCGAAGGCCUUUCUUAUCGCAUGCAUUCUCUUAGCUACCAUCGUCUUCUCUCCCCCGUCCACUUGCACUGCUCGAGAAUUGGCCGAGCGAGAUCCCAUCCCCACCUAUAAACCAGCAGGUUGCCCAAAUCCUUACAAGCGUAAUUGUGGGCGCCCUUAAGAUUAGAAGCAAGCAAAGUUGAGUGCUGCUUAAAAGUAUGGAGAGCUUCUGCUGUCUUUAUCAAUAUGUAAAAUGAUCAGAACUAUUUAUGUGAGAAUACUAAAUAAAGUUCUCCAGUGGAUUAGAAGAAGCAAGCAAAGUUGUGAAGUAUGGACGGCUCAUAGUGUCUUUAUCAAUAUGUAAAAUUAAUGUUAUGUUGAUAUGGGAACUAUUUAUGUGAGAAAAAUAAAUGAAGUUCUUAGUGAGUGAGUUUCAUGGUA